GGAGGUGUGGGUCAAACAGUAGAGUACCAGACUGGCAAAUUGGGGGCUCUGAGUUCAAACCUCAGCACCGUCA
rnacentral:tRNA from 1 species